CGGGAGUAAAGCUUGCUGUAACCGAACUUCCCACUCACGCCUGUGAUCAGCAGCCGCAGCAGAUAUUAUAGUAGGAAAAGUCAAGCAUCACGGGUUCACCCCGGAGGAAAAAGAAGUUUCCUCUACGUAUUUGGUAAAGCUUGAAACGAGCGUUCCAUUGUGAGCUCGUAGAGUCUCGUGAAACCGAUGCUGCAUAACGCUCUGGAUGGCAAUCAACAGUUCAGUGGAAGGAAAGGGCCGUUUAGGAGGCAAGAAGAGGCAUCAAGAAGCGACAGUGCAGAACGAAACUAUAGUGGGCCCCUUUGGGCGGUUAUGGGUGACGAUCGCUAGACUCGUGACACCCUAUGCAGACAAUAUGUACAUAGAGAGGGAAUGAAUGAAGAUAACAACAGCUACACAUUUAUCAUAGAUAAGAGUCCAGAUAGAAACGCUUGGUAACCCGUGCCUCAACGGCUUCAAGUAUGCAUAUAGUGAUGAGAAUAUUGACAAAUUUCAAGCGCACUGUUCCUUAUUGAUUGUUGAUCUCUAUCGGAAACUAUUGAUUACGAGGAGACGCCAGGUGGAAAAUUUGCUCUUCCGCUUUUUUUCUACCCAAAUAACGAUGGAUCGAAUUAAAAGGUUUUGGCUCUAGAGUUUUCACAAUGCGACAUCUUUUUGAUACAAUCGAGUUUUUUUAGUAGAAUUUAGAAAUAAUA